CCGAAGCUAUCUCUCCUCUCCCUUGAGCACACCCAUGGACCACCCAUGUCACCAACCUGCCACUCAUACGAGCUCUGCCACCAUUACUCACCUUGUCCCAUCUUCCCUCCCGAGCCUAAAUCUAUAGAACCAUUCAUGGACCUGCACUCCAAUCGGAGAGAAGUUGGAAAUAGAGAGCUUCAGCGAGAUUCCUCGUCCCUUUGAUUUGGCACAAAGAUACCUUGGGGGUGCUAAACCCAGUUUUUUCGAGGAGUGAACUUACCUUUGCAGGCAUAUUCCUAUGAGAUACAACCACGGCUGGCCACGAGAAAGGUGUAAUUGUGUAUGACGUUUUCGUCCACCCUUGUUUGCACGACUCUUCACCAACAGUGUAAGGAGCCUACAGGCGAUUGAUAUUUAUAUUGGCUACGGCCGAGGCAUUUGGUUGGUACCUACGGGAGGGAGAUAUAUGAUUGGCUUCGGCCGGGCGUUUGUAGAUGGCUUCGGCCAUAAGAUAUUUAUAUUGACUUUGGCCAGGCGUUUGUAGAUGGCUUCGACCGGAAGAUACUUAUAUUGGCUUCGGUCGGGUGAUGUAGGGGCCUAUGGGUCGAAAGAUACUUAUAUUGGCUUCAACCGAGAGAUGUAGUGUCUACGGGGGAAUGAUCUGCCUACGCAUGCAGUGAUGUAGAACCUUCUGAUGAAUGAAUAAGUGUUCUACAUGCCUUUGGGCAAAUGAAAUAUAAUAUCUAUGUAUAUGCUUUAUAUAUAUACCACUCAUAAGCACACACCAUAUAUAAUAUAUGUCUUUCAAAGUUUUAUAGCAUGUUAGGGCUUUCGGAAAACGUAUUACUUAUUAUGCUAUUAAAUCUUCAUAAACAUUUGGGGGUUAGUACGUUAUUGAAUAACUGUUUUUGUACUACUUAUAUAUAUUAACUUGGUCCACUCAUGUUUUGUUUUGCGCCCCCUCAGGACUUAGAAUCGAGGCGUACAAUCUCGACGUUAAGGCAUUCCUGCAUCGGCAUCUUUAAGUCUUCUCAGUAGAUGGCACCAAUGGCUGUUGAGGGUAAGAAGCAAGAACGUGAUAGUCCUCAGGCAGAGAAGAAGCUUCAUCAGAUGAAGCAGAGUGAGACCGCUAAGAAUCAUUAGGCAAAGCACAAGAAUAAGACUAACAAGAAUAACCGUGACGAGCAUGUUCAGAGUCACAUCCAGAGCCAUUGGAUUCCCGAUACUAAUAGCGUCGGCGAUUGUCGUUCAUCAUGCGUAGCCACCGGCUUCUACAGUGUUGAUUGUGUUGAUGAUAAAUGCAUGUGCAUUAAGAAAAUUUGGUAGUGCUUAUCAUUGAGAUCUCUACGUGCAUGCAUGGUAUCUCAUCUGCAACCUAGCUUGUAGCUACAAGUGUGGGAGUUUUUAACACUAGUCAAAUUACCGAUUUGGGGGGCCAGUACUUCUGUAUAAUAACUAGGUUUGUGCCCUAAUUUUUUGCUUUUUCUUUCCUCCUCUUGUGUAUGAAUCGAGAGAGUAUUUAUUUUGUGAUGUCAUGUAUACAAGUGUAUAGUAACUGGGUUUGUCGCCUAAUUUUUUGUUCUUUCUAUAUUUUUCAAUAAAAUCCUCAUUUGUGAAUUAUUAGUAUUCUAUUUUUUCAACUAAUGUUCUUAA